rnacentral:lncRNA from 10 species
CUGGGUUUGUAGUAAGGAGGUCAUUAAGGUUAAAUGGUGCCCUGAGGGUGGAGCCCUCAUGAUAAGAUGAGGCCCUCAUGAGAAGAAAUGGGAGAAGCUCUCCUCCUUUCUCUGCCAUGUGAGGACACAGUGAGAAGGCGGCCAUCUGCAAGCCAGGAGGAGGGCCCUGGGUCUUAUGCUGCCAGGCUCCAGCUCUGUGAGCAAGUUCACUUCUGUUGUAUAAGCCCCCGCUGUGUGGUUUUCGUUAUGGCAGGCAGAGCACACUAAGACGCACCUUGGCCAUGCUCUUCUCUCCCUAGCAAUGCUUCUCUUUUGCUGUGUAGUGAAGGUCAGCCAUUGUUCAGGUAAUUAAUGCUCUCCCGGGUCUGGCCCCAGUAACUUUCUGGUGUUAUCACCACAACCCCAUCUUCAAAACCCAACGUCAGGCCAAGCUGACCCACACUGUGGAUCGAUUCAUGGAUGGACCCAGAUGCAUGGGAAGUCCUGGGUACAUUUCAUGCCUUUUCCAGCAAUGCAGAGGGGCCAGAGGGGUGCAGCCACACACAGGGGGCCCUCAGCUCCUGGAGUGCUAGCACUUAGCCCACAGGCUGCUCACUCCCCAGAGCGCGCUCUCUCUGCUCUCUUCUUUAGGUGAAUGGUGCCGGCAGAAAGUUGUGUAUACGUGCCAUAGGUUCCUAAUGAGAAGGGUCUUGGACAUCACUCUCUCCUCUGUGGAGUUCAGGUUUCCAUUAGAGUUGUACAUUGCUCUCUAGGUCCCUGAAGUCUUCAAUCGUUUUUUGUUUCAUUUCAUUAUCCAGCCUUUAUUGAAAGGAUGCUGUCCAGGAUGCCAGGUCCAGGCUUGGGAGAGGCAGAGCGAGUCCCUGUCUCUUGGAACCUGGGGCCCAAUGGUCAAUACAGUAAUGAAAUAAAUGCAGUUGGACAAGCCAAGUGGAAUAACCUUUAGAAAGAAGGCUUUUCCGUCUUCCUAAGGUUUUAUCCAAAGCAAGCCGUGAUGCCGGUGUGAUCGUAGUCAUGGCGGCAGUUCUGAAGCACACACAGAUCUACCUUAUCUUCCAAGGGCUGUUCCUGAAAGGCUGGCAAAGCCAACUUUCCCCAUUGUACUUGAAAGCUCCUUGCAAUGAGAUCUGAGCUGCGGAAGUCACAGUGCAGAGGCAGGUGCUGUUGAAGGCUGUGAAACCUGAGUCAUUUGAAGAAGGAGACGCGGGGAGAAGUGUCCCAGUUCAACCUCGGUGGAUGGGAACUGGGUUUGAAGAGAACACCAGCCAUGGCUCCAGGUGGGCCAAUCACCGAGGAGACACACACGAGCCCUGUGUGCCACUGGGCAUGAAAGUUUUCAUCUUUUCCUGAAAACAAUUGCUGGAGGUGAAUCAGGCCAGCUCUCCCAUGUGAAAACUUCCACUCUACAAUGGAAUUCUGUUGCACGUAUCCAAGUUUAUGGUUCAGGUCUCAUGAUCACUUGGUGAUCUCCUCUGUUUGGGGUUGCAGCACUCCCUUUGCUAUAAAACGUGUCCCCGUUGGAGAUGAUGGGAUGUGAACACCACAGUGACUGGUGAGUGAGCUGUUCUGCAAAUC